UCCAACUCAAAGUAUUAAACAUUAAACAUAAUCCCACUCGUCCUAGACUCCGAGUCCUAGUUCGUCGCCUAGUUCCUUCUUGCUCUUCCUUCCACUCUCUAUAGAUGCAAAUUGAAAAUAAUCCUAUAACUUUAAAUCCAAAGCUACUAUAGCAGCCAUAAGGUUGCAUGUCCUAUAGUGGUCAAGAAGACGUAAGAUGGAGACACUUGGCCUCGAUUGAAGCAUAAUAGUUGACAAAGGAAGUCGAGAAAGUGUUCCUGCUAAAAAUUGAAACCUGCAUCCAGUAAACACCAAUAAUAAAACAUUGAAAUACACAACAAAAUAUAUCAGAUAAAUUGAAACAGUUAGAUCUCCAUUCACAACCUUGCAAAGAAUGAAAUAUAUCUAGGCCUUAAAACAUGUGGGCAUGUGAAAAUUGGUGUUGAUUAUUGGAGGUGUUCCUACCCAGCCUGAUGACAUGGUGGUUAGUGAGGAUAAUGCUGAACACGAACACAAUCUAAUUCAUGAUUCAUUAUUGACCAAUCCCAAUGCCGCUCGGAGAAUGGACAAUGAGUGAAGGACAUGAAAAAUCAUGAUUUCUCUUGGAACGAACUAUCUGUUCUUCUGCUAAUAAGAGAAAAAUAAUUCAACAAAAAACUAAAAAUUGGUGAAUUACAAAUACCUAGUCGAAAUAGAAAGCAGUACUAGAUUUGAAGAGGAAUGAAAGUCGAAAUAGAAAGCAGUACUAGAUUUGAAGAGGAAUGAGUACACGACCUGAGGACAUGAAAAUGACGAAGAGUUAAAUGUACACCUUGUAUAAAAAAUUAAAUUAACUUUUCUUGUCAAAGAAAAAAAACUUUACAUCUGUUUUGGCAAACAAUGCUAGACUAGUUCAUGAAGUCAGACCUGUACAAGGCACUAGUCUUCUAAGUAGCAUAACUAAAAACUUAAAUUCGUGAACCUGGGUGAGUGAAGGUGUCCUAGAUGCUUGGGAUCAUCGCAUUACCAAUGAACCAUUCCCGGGAUUCACCUGGAAACAAGAAAAAAGAAUUAAUCAUUCUCAUACUCAACAUAUUAUGAGGAAUGAAACCCGAAUUUUACACUGAGCCGAAAGUCUUACAGCUUUAAGAAAAUAAAAUCAUACAUGUAUCAUCACGCUACUGCAAUAAUGAAAUAGGUGCAUGAUUAUUUGAAUCACUUAUGUCUUCUUUUAUCUUGUAUGGUAUAUCAAAAUUGUGGGUCAGUGGUCCAAUAGAAGACUUUUAGCAUGGCUUCAACAUAAGCCUACAUAUUACAGAUUUGAUCGGUUUGUUGUACCUUUAAGUUGGUUUCUUUCCAAGUUUAUUAGCUAACAGGUUAGCAAAGAAUUGAUUCUAUUAGGUUGUUAGGGGCAUCUGUUUUAAACCUUCUGAUCACCUCCUGAGAUUAAGAGACAAUAGACUAAGGAACACCCCUAUAAUUUAUACCUCUCAUGUUUCUCACUGUUCUUCUAAACCUCUCAGUAAGAAAAAGCAUAAAAGUGAUUAAGAACACUACAAUAUGGACAAUGGGAAUUUAAAUGUGUUAUUCCCUCCAUUUAUUUUUGUAGGGAAUAUCAAUAUUUGAGUAGUGUUGCAAGGCAUAUUAUUUGAUUAUUAAUUUCGCUUAUAAUAUAUAUAUAUAUCCUUAGUUACAAACCAACAUCUUGCUAAAACAGAUGUGAAAUAUAAAUCUAGUUACAACCCUUUUUAACGUCCUCAAAAUUUACAUCUCCAACUUUUCUAGGUGCAUAAUCUGGCUCAGUGGAGACAGAAGGUUGAUGGCACAGUUCAGUAGCUGUGAGUUUAUUUUUUAUUUUAUAUAUUAGUUUCAUUCCUUGGCCAUCGUAGAGAACAAAAGUUGUCUAAUCAACCAUCCAAACAGAACAAGCAACUAAAUCGAAUUAAUAGAUCUAUUAAAUAUUAAAAGUUAUACACUUGAAAAGAUUUCGACUCACCCCAGUGUUCCUUUCAUAUACCCUUCUAGAACCUGAUUAUCAUCCCAUGAUUUUUGAGCUCUGGUUUUCAUUGUACAGAAUUCACUCUUAGACCAAAUGUUGCUUUCGAGAGUUCCAUAGUGUGCUUGUAUUUUCCAUACUCUUGUUCUGCACCUAGCAAGAGCAAACAAGCCAAACUCAAUUUUACUACUUUGUUUGUGACAAUACAAGCAGGACUGAUUGUCAGAGCAGAGAUCAAACUAUCAAUAUCAACAAAUUGCUUCACUUUUUUAUCUGAAACAAAUCUGAUCAAACUUACGGGUAUAACCAAGCAAUGGCAUAUGGAUAAAUUGCACUGAACGAUGAUGAAGGUAUUUGCUUAAACCGAAUAACAUUAGUCUAUUAUCUAUGUUCACCGAGACAAUGCUAGCUAUGAAAAUAAAUGAGUAAAAAAUGCAUAGAACUCAGAAUAAACAAAUCUGCAAUAGUUGCUAAUGUUGUCAGAGUUAUAUCCUCUUUCAACUUAAACUAACUAAAUAGAUGUUAAAAUAACACGAACUACUCAUCUAGGUGAUAUCCUAUCCAACACUUGCUUUCUUUUAUUUUCUUCUCUCCUUGAUUCAUCUACUAUUUGUAGACUAAUAUAUUGGAAAAAUGCACAAACACAUAGCCAUAUUAAUCUAACAGUUAUGCAAGCCAAAGUAAAUUAACACCAUCCAAAUUAUGGGGGAUUUAAUAUUAUAGGUUCAAUCAUUAGGGGAAUAAACUAACGUAUCUAGUUUUGAAAGUAUUAGGGGAAUAAAUUUAGAACUCCAAUUUUGUUUUACCUGAACCGGGUGUUGUUUGGCAGCAGGAACAGUCGAAGAGGCGUCUUGUUCAUGCAGCAGGAACAACAUCUUUUAGCACGAACGAUGUCUUCUUGCAGCGAGGACGACGUUGUGUGGAAGCAGCAACAGGGGUCUUGUUCUAGGCAACAAGAACAACGUCGUGUGGUAGCAGAAACUGGUCGUCACCUGGUCUAGCACCUGCGUCCAGCCGCCGGCCGGAGAAGAAGAAGCCGCCGGAGAUGGUCAAAGUCGUUGGCCAGAGAUGGAGGAAAGGAUGGUCGGAGAUGGUGGAAAGGAGUCAGGCGGAUGGACGGAUGGCAGAUGGGCAAACCCUAACUAACUGCCGCCUAUAUUCGUG
rnacentral:lncRNA from 1 species